rnacentral:rRNA from 1 species
AACGAACGCUGGCGGCAUGCCUAACACAUGCAAGUCGAACGGAAAGGUCGGGUAUAGGGGCGGAGGGGUGCGGAAGGAGUGGGGACCUACACGUGAGUAAGGAGUACCUCACCGAAGGGUGUCCUAAUACAGGUGGAGCUCAUAGCACAAAGGAGCUAUCGCCUUAGGGUGGGCGCGCGUUGGUUUCGCUGGUUGGUAGGGGAAAAGCGUAUCAAGGGGACGUUGCAUGGCUGGUCUGAGAGGAUGAUCUUCCACACUGGGACUGAGACACGGCCCAGACUCCUACGCGACGCAGCAGUAGGGUAUAUUGGACAAUGGGCGAAAGCCUGAUCCAGCAAUGCCGCGUGAGUGAUGAAGGCCUUAGGGUUGUAAAGCCCUUUUACCCGGGAUGAUAAUGACAGUACCGGGAGAAUAAGCUCCGGCUAACUCCGUG